AGAAAGCAAAGGUGAGUAGUUUGUCUCUUUUAAUUUAUGCUGUUAACUUUUAAUUAAAACUUCUGAUGAUAUUCUUUAACUAUAAAAUGGUUCAGGUUUGUGAUUCUAAAAAUUCUUGCUUUCGUCAUAUUCCCUUCAAUUUGUCAACGUUAAAAUUUUCUUUUGGACUUGACUGCAAGAAACUUUUACACCAAUUUUUCUUUGAAAGGAUUUAUUAUUAAUUUAAAUUUUAAACUUUAAUUUUUAUAUUGUACUUGCUU
rnacentral:misc_RNA from 1 species